rnacentral:rRNA from 1 species
UACGUAGGGUGCAAGCGUUAAUCGGAAUUACUGGGCGUAAAGCGUGCGCAGGCGGUUUUGUAAGUCCGAUGUGAAAUCCCCGGGCUCAACCUGGGAAUUGCAUUGGAGACUGCAAGGCUAGAAUCUGGCAGAGGGGGGUAGAAUUCCACGUGUAGCAGUGAAAUGCGUAGAGAUGUGGAGGAACACCGAUGGCGAAGGCAGCCCCCUGGGUCAAGAUUGACGCUCAUGCACGAAAGCGUGGGGAGCAAACAGG